rnacentral:ncRNA from 1 species
UAAAAUCUGCCACCGGGUAGUAGAUGCGUAAAGCAUUCGUUUGUACAUCGUUAGGUCAUUGAAGAUGUGCAUGCGGAUGUUUAUUUUUU